AGUUGCGUUCAUACCAGCACUAAUGCACCAGAUCUCAUGAGAACUCCGCAGUUAAGCAUGCUUGGGAGAGAGUAGUACUAGGAUGGGUUACCUACUAGGAAGUCCUCGUGUUGCACCUC
rnacentral:rRNA from 2 species